rnacentral:rRNA from 1 species
UACCAGCACCCCGAGUGGUCGGGACGAUUAUUGGGCCUAAAGCGUCCGUAGCCGGCCUUACAAGUCCCCCGUUAAAUCCAACUGCUUAACAGAUGGGCUGCGGAGGAUACUAUAAGACUAGGAGGCAGGAGAGGCAAGCGGUACUCAGUGGGUAGGGGUAAAAUCCGUUGAUCCAUUGAAGACCACCAGUGGCGAAGGCGGCUUGCCAGAAUGCGCUCGACGGUGAGGGAUGAAAGCUGGGGGAGCAAACCGG